rnacentral:rRNA from 1 species
GAUGAACGCUGGCGGCGUGCCUAAUACAUGCAAGUCGAGCGAACAGACGAGGAGCUUGCUCCUCUGACGUUAGCGGCGGACGGGUGAGUAACACGUGGAUAACCUACCUAUAAGACUGGGAUAACUUCGGGAAACCGGAGCUAAUACCGGAUAAUAUAUUGAACCGCAUGGUUCAAUAGUGAAAGACGGUUUUGCUGUCACUUAUAGAUGGAUCCGCGCCGCAUUAGCUAGUUGGUAAGGUAACGGCUUACCAAGGCAACGAUGCGUAGCCGACCUGAGAGGGUGAUCGGCCACACUGGAACUGAGACACGGUCCAGACUCCUACGGGAGGCAGCAGUAGGGAAUCUUCCGCAAUGGGCGAAAGCCUGACGGAGCAACGCCGCGUGAAUGAUGAAGGUCUUCGGAUCGUAAAACUCUGUUAUUAGGGAAGAACAAAUGUGUAAGUAACUAUGCACGCCUUGACGGUACCUAAUCAGAAAGCCACGGCUAACUACGUG